rnacentral:rRNA from 1 species
UCGGGAAUUUUGCUCAAUGGGCGCAAGCCUGAAGCAGCAACGCCGCGUGAGGGAUGAAGGCCUUCGGGUUGUAAACUUCUUUUCUCAGGGACGAUGAUGACGGUACCUGAGGAAUAAGUCACGGCUAACUACGUGCCAGCAGCCGCGGUAAUACGUAGGUGACCAGCGUUGUCCGGAUUUACUGGGCGUAAAGAGCGCGCAGGCGGUCGUUCAAGUCAAGUGUGAAAGCCCCCGGCUCAACUGGGGAGGGUCACUUGAUACUGAUCGACUUGAAGGCAGGAGAGGGAAGCGGAAUUCCCGGUGUAGUGGUGAAAUGCGUAGAUAUCGGGAGGAACACCAGUGGCGAAGGCGGCUUCCUGGCCUGUUCUUGACGCUGAGGCGCGAAAGCUAGGGGAGCAAACGGGAUUAGAUACCCCCGGUAGUCCUAGCCGUAAACGAUGGACACUAGGUGUUGGUGGUAUCAACCCCACCAGUGCCGAAGCUAACGCAUUAAGU